UGGCUGGUGGUGUAAUGGUAGCACAGCGGCCUUUGGAGCCGUUAGUGGAGGUUCGAAUCCUCCCCGGCCAG
rnacentral:tRNA from 1 species